rnacentral:RNase_P_RNA from 1 species
GCAGUAAGCUGGACAGCCGCGCGGGCGGGGCGAAAGGCCCGCCUGUGAGGAAAGUCCGGGCUCCGCAGGGCAAGGAUAACGGGUAACACCCGCCGGGGGCGACCCUAGGACAAGUGCAACAGAGAUAUACCGCCCCCGCUUCCCUCUCGGAAGCGGGAGCAAGGGUGGAAAGGCGAGGUAAGAGCUCACCCGAUGGCGUGUAAAAGCGCCCAUCGCUGUAAACUCUAUCCGGAGCAACGCCGUGGGAACACACACAGACCGGCCCGGUCGUGUUCAGGAGGCGGCUUGAGCGUAUUGGCAACAAUGCGUCGAGAUAGAUGGCUGUCUUAAAAGACAGAACCCGGCUUACAGGCUUACUGCACCA